UUAAGCUAAUAAGAGCGCAGGGAGGAUGCCUUGGCAUCAGGAGCCGAUGAAGGACGCGGUAAGCUGCGAAAAGCUCCGGGGAGUGGCAAGCACACAUUGAUCCGGAGAUGUCCGAAUGGAGCAAUCCACAUGAGUGAAGCUCAUGUAUCAUAUACUGAAUAAAUAGGUAUAUGAGGGGAACCGUCUGAACUGAAACAUCUAAGUAGGACGAGGAAAAGAAAUCAACCGAGAUUCCGCUAGUAGUGGCGAGCGAACGCGGAAGAGGCUAAACCAGAGUCAGCAAUGACUUUGGGGUUUGGACUGCAUUUAGUAUCAAUGAGGUCUAGUCGAAGUACAUGGGAAGGUACAUCGAAGAGGGUGAGAAUCCCGUAGACGAAAGAUCAAGUUGGCGAGCAGUAUCCAGAGUACCGCCGGACACGUGAAACCCGGUGGGAACAUGGGGGGACCAUCCUCCAAGCCUAAAUACUACCUGAUGACCGAUAGCGCAUAGUACUGUGAAGGAAAGGUGAAAAGAACCCCGGGAGGGGAGUGAAAGAGAGCCUGAAACCCUGUGCUUACAAGCACACAGAGCACGUCAAAGUGUGAUGUGGUACCUAUUGUAGAAUGGUCCGGCGAGUUAUUUUAUGCAGCGAGGUUAAGGACUUAAGGUCUGUAGCCGAAGUGAAAGCGAGUGUUAAUAGCACGAAACAGUUGCAUGCAAUAGACCCGAAACCGGGUGACCUAUCCAUGUCCAGGCUGAAGUGAGGGUAAAACCUCAUGGAGGGCCGAACCGACUCCCGUUGAAAUGGUAGCGGAUGAGGUGUGGAUAGCGGAGAAAUUCCAAUCGAACCCGGAUAUAGCUGGUUCUCCCCGAAACCGUUUUAGGACGGGCCUCGUGUGAAGAUUAUCGGAGGUAAAGCACUGAAUAGCCUAGGGGGCGAGAGUCUACCGAAGCUUAUCAAACUCUGAAUGCCGAAUAAUCGUUUCACGGGAGUCAGACUGUGUGAGAUAAGUUUCAUAGUCAAAAGGGAAACAGCCCAGACCCACAGCUAAGGUCCCAAAGUGUAUUUAAGUGGAAAACGAUGUGAAGUUGCGUAGACAACCAGGAUGUUGGCUUAGAAGCAGCCACUCAUUAAAAGAGUGCGUAAUAGCUCACUGGUCGAGUGACUUUGCGCGGAAAAUUUAACGGGGCUAAAAUACACACCGAAGCUUGGGCUUGACGCUUUUGCGUCAGGGGUAGGGGAGCGUCGUGUAAGGGGCGAAGUCGUAUCGUAAGGGACGGUGGACUUUACACGAGUGAGAAUGCCGGAAUGAGUAGCGAGAAUUAUGUGAGAAUCAUAAUGGUCGAAAGCCUAAGGUUUUUGGAGGAAGGUUCGUCCGCUCCAAGUAAGCCGGGAGCUAAGGUCAGGCGGAAACGCGUAGCCGAUGCACAUACGGUUGAAAUUCCGUAGCCUCAGAAAGAUUUAAGCGAAGGGACACUUUGAAAGGACUGUUGCCGGGUGUUGGUUACCCCGGUCGUAAGGGAACGAAAUUAAGUAGUGAAGGCAGUCUGGACGGAGGCGAGAAAAGCUUCGUGUAUAUCUUAUGAGCCCGUACCGCAAACCGACACAGGUAGGUGGGAUGAGAAUUCUAAGACCAACGGGAGAAGGGUAGUUAAGGAACUCGGCAAAUUGUCCCCGUAACUUCGGAAUAAGGGGAGCCUGCGAAAGCAGGCCGCAGAGAAUUGGCCCAGGCGACUGUUUAUCAAAAACACAGCUCUAUGCUAAAUCGAAAGAUGACGUAUAUGGGGUGACACCUGCCCGGUGCUGGAAGGUUAAGAGGAGAUGUGAGAGCAUCGAAUUGAAGCCCCAGUAAACGGCGGCCGUAACUAUAACGGUCCUAAGGUAGCGAAAUUCCUUGUCAGGUAAG
rnacentral:rRNA from 1 species